rnacentral:rRNA from 1 species
AUUGAGCGCUGGCGGCAUGCCUUACACAUGCAAGUCGAACGGUAACGGGUCCUUCGGGAUGCCGACGAGUGGCGAACGGGUGAGUAAUAUAUCGGAACGUGCCCAGUAGUGGGGGAUAACUGCUCGAAAGAGCAGCUAAUACCGCAUACGACCUGAGGGUGAAAGGGGGGGAUCGCAAGACCUCUCGCUAUUGGAGCGGCCGAUAUCAGAUUAGCUAGUUGGUGGGGCAAAGGCCUACCAAGGCAACGAUCUGUAGUUGGUCUGAGAGGACGACCAGCCACACUGGGACUGAGACACGGCCCAGACUCCUACGGGAGGCAGCAGUGGGGAAUUUUGGACAAUGGGCGCAAGCCUGAUCCAGCAAUGCCGCGUGCAGGAAGAAGGCCUUCGGGUUGUAAACUGCUUUUGUCAGGGAAGAAAUCUUCUGGGCUAAUACCCCGGGAGGAUGACGGUACCAGAAGAAUAAGCACCGGCUAACUACGUGCCAGCCGCCGCGGUAA